AUUCCAUGAGGUGGGCACUUUCUCAACAUUUCCUUAUACCUUUCCCAAGCAUCGUACAAGAAUUCGGACUCAAACUAUGUAAAGGAAGAAAUAUCAUUUCUCAAUUU